UACGUAGGUGGCAAGCGUUAUCCGGAAUUAUUGGGCGUAAAGAGCUCGUAGGCGGUUUGUCGCGUCUGCUGUGAAAACCCGAGGCUCAACCUCGGGCCUGCAGUGGGUACGGGCAGACUAGAGUGCGGUAGGGGAGAUUGGAAUUCCUGGUGUAGCGGUGGAAUGCGCAGAUAUCAGGAGGAACACCGAUGGCGAAGGCAGAUCUCUGGGCCGUAACUGACGCUGAGGAGCGAAAGCGUGGGGAGCGAACAGG
rnacentral:rRNA from 1 species